UUUCGCUAGGGGUGCUUAUUUUAAGCUGAGAGAAGGUAAUGACUUUCGACCCUUUGAACCUGAUCCAGUUCAUACUGGCGUAGGGAAGCGGCG
rnacentral:ncRNA from 1 species